rnacentral:rRNA from 1 species
AACCAACUCCCUGAGUGGUGGGGAUGAUUAUUGGGCUUAAAGCGUCCGUAGCUGGCCUGGUUAGUCCCGCGUUAAAUCCAGCGACCUAAUCGUUGGGAUGCGUGGGAUACGGUCAGGCUGGGGGGCGGGAGAGGUUAGCGGUACUCCAGGGGUAGGGGUGAAAUCCAAUAAUCCCUGGCGGACCACCAGUGGCGAAGGCUGCUAACCAGAACGCGCUCGACGGUGAGGGACGAAAGCUGGGGGAGCGAACCGGAUUAGAUACCCGGGUAGUCCCAGCUGUAAACGAUGCGGGCUAGCUGUUGGGGUGGCUACGAGCCACUUCAGUGGCGCAGGGAAACCACUAAGCCCGCCGCCUGGGAAGUAUGAUCGCAAGAUUGAAACUUAAAGGAAUUGGCGGGGGAGCACCACAAGGGGUGAAGCUUGCGGUUU